UACGUAGGGUGCGAGCGUUGUCCGGAAUUAUUGGGCGUAAAGAGCUCGUAGGCGGUUUGUCACGUCUGCUGUGAAAUCCCGAGGCUCAACCUCGGGCCUGCAGUGGGUACGGGCAGACUGGAGUGCGGUAGGGGAGAAUGGAAUUCCUGGUGUAGCGGUGGAAUGCGCAGAUAUCAGGAAGAACACCUAUGGCGAAAGCAGCUCUCUGGGACGGUACUGACGCUGAGACGCGAAAGCGUGGGGAGCGAACAGG
rnacentral:rRNA from 1 species